CAUGGGGCCGACAUGGUAAUCACAGACCAUGGCAGUGGAGGCACAUCCUAAUGCCUCCCUAUCAAUGUUCAGUGGUACUGUCUCUGUGUACUGUAACAACCACAGGUGAUGGGGAACCAGGGUUCAGUUCCCAAGAGGGGGCCUGAGAAUCUGUCACCACAUCCGAGGCAAGCAG